UCGGGGCCGCAGACCCCCGGCAUCCCAAAGCGGCUUGCCGUUCAAGUUCUGC
rnacentral:ncRNA from 1 species